CCUGCUCCUAGAGGCACUGCAGGUGUGGCUGCUUUGUUACAAGUGCAUCACUAGGGGCAGAGGAGAGAGACUGUCUACACUCAGUAUUCUGACCUAUGGACAUCUGAAAGAUUAGUAGCCUAACUCA